GUGGGGAAUUUUGGACAAUGGGCGCAAGCCUGAUCCAGCAAUGCCGCGUGCAGGAAGAAGGCCUUCGGGUUGUAAACUGCUUUUGUCAGGGAAGAAAUCUUCUGGGCUAAUACCCCGGGAGGAUGACGGUACCUGAAGAAUAAGCACCGGCUAACUACGUGCCAGCAGCCGCGGUAAUACGUAGGGUGCGAGCGUUAAUCGGAAUUACUGGGCGUAAAGCGUGCGCAGGCGGCUUUGCAAGACAGAUGUGAAAUCCCCGGGCUGAACCUGGGAACUGCAUUUGUGACUGCAAGGCUAGAGUACGGCAGAGGGGGAUGGAAUUCCGCGUGUAACAGUGAAAUGCGUAGAUAUGCGGAGGAACACCAAUGGCGAAGGCAAUCCCCUGGGCCUGUACUGACGCUCAUGCACGAAAGCGUGGGGAGCAAACAGGAUUAGAUACCCGGGUAGUCC
rnacentral:rRNA from 1 species